AAGCGACGUCGUUUGGACUUAAAGGAGAUUAGAGAAGACGAUUAACCCCGUCUAAUUAAUCCAUUAUCCGAGUUAAUGUCGUAUUUAAUUUGGUUUAGUCAAACUAAAUUGAGGUUUAUAGUGAUUAUUCAAAUUAAGUUGGUGCUUUAAAUGGUCCUAAUGAAAGUUCAUGUUUUUUUCAACCAAAUUUGAAAGUUCGUGAUUUAAAUGAUAAUUUUCCCUUUUUCCCUUUUUUUUGGUAUGGGCUAUCGCCAUGAUUUUCCAACGUAAGCAUGCUUAAAAAGACGAAAUGUAAUUAUAAAUAUAGUCCUAUUCCAUAUUCGAAAAAAACUAAUUAAAAAGAAAGUAGUACUUAGCUUUCCAUCUACUUUCUUGCAAUUAAAAAAUAAGUUGGUGAAACCUAUUUUUAUACUUUUGAAUCGUAUAUGAUAUAUCGUAUCACCAUAUAAUGCAUAUGGUUUGAGCAGAGAGCUAAAGAGAGAGAGAGAGAGAUGAUCCCCAUGCCUUCUCCAGAGACUCAUGAUCACUUCAUUCUCGAUCGAUCAAAGGUUGAAGAAGAAGUGAAGCAUAGAUCAACAGCAUAUACAUGAUGGCAAAUGAUAUGUUUAAAAUCAGAAAAUUUUCAAUCUGGAUUUACUAGUUGAUGGUAUUGGGUUUGAGUUUGAUCGAAUAUAGAUGGACAUCUCUUUUCUUAAGGUUGCUUUGAAGAAAAGGAUGGGAGAUGCCCAUGCCUUGAGUCUUGAGGCAAGUAAACGAUCACCAGUUCCCCCUUUCAAAACUUCAAUCUCUUUGUUAAACACGAGUACUAUUACAUAACCCAUCUUUUGAUUUUUAUACAAAAGCUCACGUUUUUCUUUCAUCGUUUACGUAUGAAUUGAAGUUAUGCAGUUCAAUUCGAUUGUUUUAUGAAAUGUAACUUCUCAUUCAAUAUUUGAUGUAGUGUAUAGGGAAUCCCAAAAAGAUAAAAAGAAAACCAUAUAAAAGAAAAAAUAUAUCGUUUGCAUGUUAAAAGGAAUUAUCGUCGAUACAUUUAAAAUUGUUCAGAUCAACUGUAGAAUUAAUAUAUGUGAUAAAUCUAUGUUUAUGUUUCUAUGUAUCAGCUGCAAAUUAUAACGUUUAGGAUAGUUUAAUCAAUAGUAAGUAAAUUUUGAAGCUAUGAAAUAUAUAAGGUGUAUACUUGCAUACCAAGCCUGAAUAGAAGCCCAUAAAGCAUAUGCUUUGGGGCAGGCGAGAUAAUCUAUACAAUACUAAAAGUUGAAUAAGCUCAACACCUAAGGUGUCCACAUCAGAUUAAAUAAUCCACCAAUCACAGACAAUAUUUUCGCCACGUCAUUUAAGCCCAUGUCGAGAUUUAAUGUUGGGUUUCUUAGCCUAAACCCUAAAUUAUUUUGUCAUGGCCCAAAAUAAAGUCCACCACCCGUGGCUUCUUCGAUCAUAUUUUCCUCCGCCAGUUUCUCAGUUCGUCUUUUCCAAUUCGAGUUCAUUCAUGAAGCCUCAGUUACUGUGAUCCACUUAUAAUCAAUCAAUUGUCUUCUUUACUUCCGUAUUUAUUUAUGCGUUUCACCUCGCUAUCUAUCUACUUCUAUAUAAACCGGUUCCUCGAAGCUUGCUGCCAUUCGAUUGAGCAAAGAGAUUCAGGUUUCGUUCUUUGGAAAAUUUUGAUGCUGAUUGCAAUAACAGAGAAAUCUGUGAUGGUGCUAAGUGGCUCACGCGGAUUCUGUUACACAUUGGAAUUGAAAAAUGAGCAAGAAGCAAAACAAAUGAAGAAGAAGAAGAUUAGAACUCACUUUCAUGCUAUUUUGUUAACUGGCGGUUGUUGAGUAAUGACUGGAAACCGUUUCAUGGAUAGAGGCGUGAGCAAGGAGUUGAAAACCCAAUAGCUUCUGCAACUCUAGCUGGUGAUUUAGGAAUUGGGGCUGAACAGCUUCUGCUGAUGUGAAAAGAUCACACCUUGCUUCUCUGCAGUAAUGUAGAAGGUAAGUUCUCUGGUCUCUUUGUUGGCUUUUCUGUAUUUUAUCAUUUUGGUCUGCACUAUUGUUUUUGUUUGUGGAAGAUUCAGGGUAAAUGAUGAUGAUUUGCUGAAGAUCAAGAACACUUAUCGUCCUAUCCUCUCAAGAAAGAGAAAGGGUUUAUGGUAUGUAUAUAAAGUCAAUAAUAUUGUUACAAUUCAAAAGCAAAUAUAAAGUCAUUGUUUAUAAUUUGAUCAAAAUCGUCAUGUUUCACUAUGAUAAUAGAAAAGGUAGGUAAUUUCCUUUUGUUUACCUUUUAAUCAUUCUUGCAUAUUAUUAAAUCUUAGUCAAUCA